UACAGAGGGUGCAAGCGUUGUUCGGAAUUACUGGGCGUAAAGCGUUUGUAGGCUGUUCUGAGAGUCCUAGGUGAAAUCCCCGAGCUUAACUCGGGAACUGCCUAGGAGACCUCAGCACUAGAGUACUGAAGGGGUUGCUGGAAUUCCAUGUGUAGCGGUGAAAUGCGUAGAUAUAUGGAGGAACACCUGUGGCGAAGGCGGGCAACUGGUCAGAGACUGACGCUGAGAAACGAAAGCGUGGGGAGCAAACGGG
rnacentral:rRNA from 1 species